AUGUGGAAUGAUGAUCUCAAAAUUUCUAUUCAUAGUGCCUCCUUUCAUUAUAUCUUAGCGAAUGUAGUACAUGUAGCGUCGGGUAUCCACUUAUGUUUGAUAUGUAUAUAUGGUGAUCCCUAUCAUAGGCAGACUAGUACUAUUUGGAAUCAUGUUUCCAGUUUUGUGUAUGAAAAUCUGGGUAAGCCUAUGAUCUGUAUGGUCGACCUCAGUGACACACUGUAUGAUGCUGAUAUAUCUAAUGGUUGUGUGAAUUACUAUCGUAUGUCUGGUUUU
rnacentral:rRNA from 1 species